rnacentral:rRNA from 1 species
GAUGAACGCUGGCGGCGUGCCUAAUACAUGCAAGUCGAGCGAACGGACGAGAAGCUUGCUUCUCUGAUGUUAGCGGCGGACGGGUGAGUAACACGUGGAUACCCUACCUAUAAGACUGGGAUAACUUCGGGAAACCGGACCUCAUACCGGAUAAUAUUUUGAACCUCAUGGUUCAAAAGUGAAAGACGGUCUUGCUUUCACUUAUACAUGGAUCCCCGCUGCAUUAGCUAGUUGGUAAGGUAACGGCUUACCAAGGCAACGAUGCAUAGCCGACCUGAGAGGGUGAUCGGCCACACUGGAACUGAGACACGGUCCAGACUCCUACGGGAGGCAGCAGUAGGGAAUCUUCCGCAAUGGGCGAAAGCCUGACGGAGCAACGCCGCGUGAGUGAUGAAGGUCUUCGGAUCGUAAAACUCUGUUAUUAGGGAAGAACAUAUGUGUAAGUAACUGGGCACAUCUUGACGGUACCUAAUCAGAAAGCCACGGCUAACUACGUG